UCCAGCAGUUGUCAGCUAUCCAGGCUGUGUGGUGCCCGAGAUCGUGUGUACACUGUUGGAAGAGUAAACACUGCCUUACUAAGGGUCGGCUCCCAGCACUGUUUUGGUGUCUGGUGCUGAGUACUUUCAGGCAGUAUUGCAUCCCUGAGAGUGGAAUGACUCCUUGUGGAGUUGGUCCUGGUCUGGGUGCAAACAAU
rnacentral:snoRNA from 7 species